UUCGGUCCGUUUCCAGCACUAUUGGCUAGAAAGAAAUGAAAGUUACAGUACUUGAUUACUAAACUGAAUCAAACAAAGAAAAAAGCUCACGAAAAGCAAACAAAAGCUUCGAAUGUUUACAACCGCACCGCAGUUAACAGUAACAAAAAUCUAUACAUAUACUAUAUAUUUAUACGUUUUUAUAACUGUUAAAACCGCACCGCAGUUAAACCGUUUGUCCCGCACCGUUCAAACCGCGGUUACCAUUCGAAUCCUUUAAUACCUAUAAGACAUGAGCCUGAGGAAUCAAGAGACAUACGAACUAAAACAAUUUUAGUUCACGAAAGAAUUCAGCCAAACAAAUAGAUGAUGUUAUAUAGUUUGUGACAGAAAAAUAAAACCAAUUUGUGCCGAAUGAAGAAAUAUUAUGGGAUGAAGACGAUAGAUCACAACUUUUUUUUUUGUUUCUUGUUUUUUUUUUGUAAAGGUUUUUUUUUUUUUUGUAAACUAAAAGGGUUAAACCCGGGUCUAUUAAAGACACAGACCUAACCCCCGGGUGGAGGUACAGCCCACGGAUAGACCCUCUCCUGGGCAUUCAAAUGAGCUGAAAGCAAUAGCCCAUAUCCGUGUGGCCAGCGGAGUUCGAACCAGGGUUCGCCGUAUUGGGGUUUUUUGGUAUCUGGUACAUUCUUUGACUCUUGUUUUCUUAUCACCCAUCCAUGUCCCUUGUGCUAUAUUAAAUGUACUCAAUUUAUAUUAUUUUGGUGCACCUAACAAGACAUGAUAAGGGGAUAUAAUUUAUAAGAUAAUAUAUUUGUUUCAUUGUUGAAUAUAUAUAUUAUCUCGAUGCUUUGAAUGGUUCAUGCAAAAUAGAUUUUAUACAUGAAAUUCAUGUAUAAAAUCUCAAACUUUACGUAAAAUUUGUUAUCACAAUUUCUUUCAUUUUUUUCCAUGUAUAAAAUCUCAAACCAUUGAUCUUAUAGAUGUUGAAUAACGAUUGCGUUACAUAUAAAUAUUCAAAUCAGAAGAAGCCUGGUUAGAAUAUGGACGGACGUGCACAUUAUAUACUAACAUAAAGGGCCAAGGAUGAAAUGGGCUUAAAAGGUUAUGUGACCCAUUCAGAAUACAUGUAUAUAGUUUUUAAAGUUUUUUCACUGAUACUUUUAAUUUUUAAAGUGAUAUUUAUAUCAUAAAAAAACCUCCUAAGUAAAAAAUUGAUCUACGAAACAGAUUAAAAAAUGAUGUGUCAGUUUUUUUCAAAAAAUAAUUAUUUAAUUAAUAAAACAAAUAAAAAUCUAAAUAACAGUUUAGAAAACUAAAGAAAAAUCGAAAAUUUAAUAAAAAUUCAGGAAAAUCAAAACAAAAAUAAGAAAAUUAAAUAAAAAUAUCAGAAAUAAAAUAAAUCUUAGAAAAAUUAAAUUAAAAUUAAAUAAUUUCUAUUUUUUUGUUUAUUUUUAUAUACACAAAAAUUAAAUAAAAAUUCAUAAAUUAAUUAAAAUCAGAAAUUAAUUAAAAAUUAGAAAUUAAUUAAAUAUCAGAAAAAUAAAAAUUAACUAAAAAAAAUGAGAUCAAAUUAAAAUACAGGAAAAGUAAAAAAAAUCAUAAUUUCAAAAAAAAAAUGAAAAUUCAAAAGUUCAAUUUUUUUUUUUUUGCCAUUUUCAAUGAUGAUGUCGGAAACUAUCAUUGGAAAUAUGCCAAAAAUCGACAAUGUUAAUGGUUAUGUGAGAAAUCAUCAUCAUCACUAGUGAUAUAUUUAAAAUUGUUAUUGUCAACGAUGAUAUGAUAUAUUUAAAAAAAUCUUGUAACUAAAAAAAGUAUUUUCUGAAUUUUCUAAAAUUUUUGGAAAUUUAUGAAUUUUUAUUUAGUUCUUCUGUAUUUUAAUUUAAUCUUAUUUAUUAUUGAAUUUUUUAGUUCUUUUUAUUUUUAUUUAAUUUUUUAAAUAUUUAUUUAAUUUGUGAAAUUUUUAUUUAAUUUUCUGAUUUUUGUUUUGAUUUUACUGAAUUUUUAUUAAAUCAUCGAUUUUAUUUAAUUUUCUAAACUUUUAUUUAGAUAUUUAUUUCUUUUAUUAAUUAAAUAAUUAUUUUUUGAAAACAAAACUGACACAUCAUUUUUAACAUGUUCAACAGAUCAACUUUUUACUUUGGAAGUUUCUUUAUGAUACAAA
rnacentral:lncRNA from 1 species